rnacentral:misc_RNA from 1 species
GAUGAAGAACGCAGCGAAAUGCGAUAAGUAAUGUGAAUUGCAGAAUUCAGUGAAUCAUCGUAUCUUUGAACGCACAUUGCGCCCGCCAGUAUUCUGGCGGGCAUGCCUGUUCGAGCGUCAUUACAACCCUCAGGCCCCCGGGCCUGGCGUUGGGGAUCGGCGGAAGCCCCCUGCGGGCACAACGCCGUCCCCCAAAUACAGUGGCGGUCCCGCCGCAGCUUCCAUUGCGUAGUAGCUAACACCUCGCAACUGGAGAGCGGCGCGGCCACGCCGUAAAACACCCAACUUCUGAAUGUUGACCUCGAAUCAGGUAGGAAUACCCGCUGAACUUAAGCAUAUCAAUAAGCGGAGGA